rnacentral:siRNA from 1 species
UGAUUCGUUGCAUUGUCUGUGUA